rnacentral:rRNA from 1 species
GACGAACGCUGGCGGCGUGCCUAAUACAUGCAAGUCGAACGGUCUUUUCUAUGGAAGCUUGCUUCCACUGAGAAGAUAGUGGCGAACGGGUGAGUAACACGUGGGUAACCUGCCCGUAAGAGGGGGAUAACAUCCGGAAACGGGUGCUAAUACCGCAUAGUUUUCUUGAUCGCAUGAUCGGGAAAGGAAAGACGGCCUUUGUGCUGUCGCUUAUGGAUGGACCCGCGGCGUAUUAGUUAGUUGGUGAGGUAAUGGCUCACCAAGACGAUGAUACGUAGCCGACCUGAGAGGGUGAUCGGCCACAUUGGGACUGAGACACGGCCCAAACUCCUACGGGAGGCAGCAGUAGGGAAUCUUCCGCAAUGGACGAAAGUCUGACGGAGCAACGCCGCGUGAGUGAAGAAGGUUUUCGGAUCGUAAAACUCUGUUGUCAGAGAAGAACAAGUUGGAGAGUAACUGCUCCAGCCUUGACGGUAUCUGACCAGAAAGCCACGGCUAACUACGUG